AAAAUCAGUAAGUAACUUUACCAUCGAGCAAAAAAAAAAAAAAAGAUAUUUCAGUGCCACACCCUUGUCAGGCUGUGGAAAGCCAUGUGUAUACAGCUAGCGCCAGGAGUAUAACCAGUUAGCUUUCCAUCAAAAUGAAUUACUCGUGCAAGCACUGUAAUUUCACCACAGCUUCAAUUACUGCAUUUGUUCGUCAUUUGAGCAUACACAGAAAUCUAGCUAACUUUAGAUUUCCAUGUGGCGUAGCAAAAUGCUUUGCCACUUUUGUGACGCGUGGUGCCGUUCAGAGCCACAUGUACCGCUUUCACAAGAAGACAGCUAAACCAGUACUUAAAAGGAAAAUUGAUGGAGUUGAUUUGGCUUGCUCUGUUGAAGGUUGUAACUAUGUGUCAGCAAAUUUUCCAAGCUUACAUGAACAUCUUCAUUGGCAUAUUAAAUAUGGCACAAAAGUGUCAUGCCCUUAUAUUAAUUGUUUAAAACAUUUCCGUGUCCGUUCAACCUUUGCCUCGCACUUGAAUCGGAAACACAAGAGUAUAUCUACUUCUCCACGUAUUAGCCAAAGUUCUACCAGUGCUGCUAGUACUAACAUCACCUGUGCCUCCAUGUCAUCAGACAGUGAACUAGAUCACACUUUUGAGACCACUUUUGACGAUGAUAAUGACAACACAAAAGAUGAAGUGGACACAGAUGAUUUUAUGAACAAUCUGGCCAUGUUUUAUCUCCGAAUGCAGGCUAAAAUGCUGUUACCAGCCAGUACAAUUCAGACCUUAAUAGAGGAAAUACAAGAGGUACACAACACUGGUUUGACUCAUCUAUUGUCUAGGAUGCAUGAAGAGUUAACAGAUCUGAAUGUGCCUGAAAGUGAUAUUAAGAGGCUCCUUGAUAAUCUCUCAAAAGAUAACCUUCUGAAAAUGUGCAACGAAGGAGUGUUUAGAACAGAUCAAACCCGUAAAACCUUCUUUAAGAGCAGAUUUAGCUAUGUUGAGCCAGUCAAGACUUAUUUGGGCAUUGAUGCUAAAGGCAAAGAGAGGUUCUACCAGUACGUGCCCAUCAAGGAUACAGUAAAAUCACUCCUCUCUCAGAACUCUGUUAAAGAGCAGUAUGCCCAAGCUAAAGCUGACACAGAAACAAAUCCUGAUGUUCUGGAAGAUGUGAGAGAUGGUAGAAACUUUAAAGAGAAUAUACUUUUACGAGAUUCACCAUCUUCAUUGUCUCUCAUCUUGUAUCAGGAUUCUUUCGAAGUUGCGAACCCACUGGGCUCAGGCAGAAAAAAACACAAAAUACUGGCCAUGUACAUGACACUUGCAGAGAUUGCACCACACAACAGGUCUUCCAUUGAUCCAAUGCAACUUGUUAUGUUGUGCAGAGAGGAGGAUUUCCAAUUUUUUGGACAAGAAAAAGUGUUCUCCACUUUAGUCAGUGACUUAAAAGAAAUGGAGGAAAAUGGAAUUGAAUAUGGUGCUGAGGAGAAAAUAAAAGGCUCUGUGAUUGCCAUUACUGGAGAUAAUCUGGGGUCACACAGUAUUGGCGGGUUUACUGAAAACUUCAGUAAAAGCACACAUUUUUGCCGGUACUGUGUCAUCGACAGAGUGUCUUUUCAAACAGAUCCCUGCAAAUCU
ensembl:lncRNA